rnacentral:rRNA from 1 species
GCUCCAAUAGCGUAUAUUAAAGUUGUUGCAGUUAAAAAGCUCGUAGUUGGAUUUCUGGGAGGGCGCCAAUGUCCGCUCGUUCGCGUGUGCAGCGGCGCCUUCCAUCCUUCUGUUAACGCUUCUUGGUAUUAACUUACUGGUAGCGGGCUCAGAUAUUUUACCUUGAGAAAAUUAGAGUGUUCCAGGCACUUGCGUCCGGA